GAGUUACCCCUUCCGGACUUGCCAUCUGGCAAGAUCAAGUGCAAUCCGAUCGGUGGAAUCGUUGUGCAGUGUGUUUUGGCAACAAUCGUUGAUCAAUGCCCAUCAAGAGUUACGAGCAAUACCUGCAAAACUGACUACGCUUUGUUCGAUCAGUGCAAAAACUUUGUCACCGAUGCACUCACCAACAAAUCCAAAAAGAAAUAAAUAUGCUUAUACUUCUCUUAUUGUAAUUGGCAACCUUGUAUAUUUGGCACUUAAUUGGCAACCAAAUUUUUAAUAAAUAUACGAUAUUAUUGGA